rnacentral:rRNA from 1 species
UACGGAGGGUGCGAGCGUUGUCCGGAAUCACUGGGCGUAAAGGGCGCGUAGGCGGCCUGAUAAGUAGGGGGUGAAAUCCUGCGGCUUAACCGCAGGGCUGCCUUCUAAACUGUCAGGCUAGAGCACAGUAGAGGCAGGUGGAAUUCCCGGUGUAGCGGUGGAAUGCGCAGAUAUCAGGAGGAACACCGGUGGCGAAGGCGGUUCUCUGGGCAUUACCUGACGCUGAGGAGCGAAAGCAUGGGGAGCGAACAGG